GGGGAUAUAGCUCAGUGGCAUAAGCACCUGCCUGUCAAGUGCAAGGUCCUGAGUUCAAUUCCCAGUUUACCCC
rnacentral:tRNA from 1 species